rnacentral:SRP_RNA from 1 species
GCCGGGUGUGGUGGCUCACACCUGUAAUCCCAGCAUUUUGGGAGGCUGAGGUGGGUGGAUCACCUGAGGUCAGGAGUUCGGGACCAGCCUGGCUAACACGGUGAAACCCCAUUUCUA